GACGAACGCUGGCGGCGUGCCUAAUACAUGCAAGUCGAGCGAUGAUUAAAGAUAGCUUGCUAUUUUUAUGAAGAGCGGCGAACGGGUGAGUAACGCGUGGGAAAUCUGCCGAGUAGCGGGGGACAACGUUUGGAAACGAACGCUAAUACCGCAUAACAAUGAGAAUCGCAUGAUUCUUAUUUGAAAGAAGCAAUUGCUUCACUACUUGAUGAUCCCGCGUUGUAUUAGCUAGUUGGUAGUGUAACGGACUACCAAGGCGAUGAUACAUAGCCGACGUGAAAGGGUGAUCGGCCACACUGAGACUGAGACACGGCCCAGACUCCGACGAGAGGCAGACGUAGGGGAUCUUCGGCAAUGCGUGAAACCCUGACCGAGCAACGCCGCGUGAGUGAAGAAGGUUUUCGGAUCGUAAAACUCUGUUGUUAGAGAAGAACGUUAAGUAGAGUGGAAAAUUACUUAAGUGACGGUAUCUAACCAGAAAGGGACGGCUAGCUACGUGCCAGCCGCCGCAGUAA
rnacentral:rRNA from 1 species